AGAGGGGGUUUGAUCCUGGCUCAGAUUGAACGCUGGCGGCAGGCCUAACACAUGCAAGUCGAGCGCGAAAGCCUUUCGGGGUGAGUAGAGCGGCGGACGGGUGAGUAACGCGUAGGAAUCUACCUGGUAGUGGGGGACAACUUGGGGAAACCCAAGCUAAUACCGCAUACGCCCUAAGGGGGAAAGCGGGGGAUCUUCGGACCUCGCGCUAUUGGAUGAGCCUGCGUAGGAUUAGCUUGUUGGUGAGGUAAAGGCUCACCAAGGCGACGAUCCUUAGCUGGUCUGAGAGGAUGAUCAGCCACACUGGAACUGAGACACGGUCCAGACUCCUACGGGAGGCAGCAGUGGGGAAUAUUGCGCAAUGGGGGCAACCCUGACGCAGCCAUGCCGCGUGUGUGAAGAAGGCCUUAGGGUUGUAAAGCACUUUCAAUUGGGAAGAAAAGCUUAACGUUAAUAGCGUUGAGCCCUGACAUUACCUUUAGAAGAAGCACCGGCUAACUCCGUGCCAGCAGCCGCGGUAAUACGGAGGGUGCGAGCGUUAAUCGGAAUUACUGGGCGUAAAGCGCGCGUAGGCGGUUUGUUAAGUCAGCUGUGAAAGCCCUGGGCUCAACCUGGGAACUGCAGUUGAUACUGGCCGACUAGAGUACGAGAGAGGGAGGUAGAAUUCCAUGUGUAGCGGUGAAAUGCGUAGAUAUAUGGAGGAAUACCAGUGGCGAAGGCGGCCUCCUGGCUCGAUACUGACGCUGAGGUGCGAAAGCGUGGGGA
rnacentral:rRNA from 1 species